rnacentral:miRNA from 1 species
UCCCCACAUCGGGACUUGG